GGGCGGGGGCUGCUUGAGGAAGUCAAAGGCGCCCUCCCGCUGGACCCACGAGGGUGUCGCUGUCCUCAGUCAACAAAUCGCUCAAGUCGGGGCACAAGACAGAGAAGCCAGGUCACGUCUCUGCAGUUACACAGCUCACGAGUGCCUGCUGGGGUGGAACCUGGUCUGUCUGUCUGUCUAGCACCACAGCUCGGGCGCUGCUGCAGAGGGAAGAAAGAUUUGGGGAGAGGGGCUCAGAGACGGGCUGGGGGUGGGGUCUCCCUGGCUGAUUUUGGCCUGAAAAGGAUAGCUCCUUCGGCUUAGGGACUAGGGCUGGGACUGGGUGACAGGUGGGGAAACAGGCACAGAGAGGGCAGUGCCCAUUCCUGAUGUGGUCUGGAGUGGAGCCUGGGCAGGGUGGUACCACGUGGGUGCUUUAGUCUGUGGGCCACAGAGCCUCGAGACAGAGCACAGAGAGGGAUGGCACGGGGACCCAAGGACCGGGACUGGGAGUCCUUUUACCACCUCCUAGUGGGUGCUCUUAAGUCCAUCGUACGUGUUUCAUGUUCCCCGCGACCGGGGCCCUGCAGAGGCCCAGCCGCCGCUGGACUGCAGGAAGUAUUUAUGAGCACAUCUGUGUGCUGCAAUUGUGUGUCUCUAACGGGGGAGGGGGAGGAGGGGAUUUGGUGGUGAUUAUUUAAGGUAGAGGGCAGCAAGGGGAUGGGGGCAGAAGAAGUGCGGCUCCCGCACGGUUACUGUGCUGCUUGUAUAGGAGAGAGGCACGCCCGCCUCAGGGAUGAGAGCGGGUCGGGACCAGAGGCCUGUGGGUGAUUCUCGGUAUCCGCGGGAAGGGAGCAAAGGGAUCCGAGUGGUUUGCGGUCCUUCAUGGUUUUAUUACACAUCGUAGGAGAAUAAAGAAGUUGUAAUGAUGGCCUUGAGUAGAGCAAUUGUGAGACUGUGCUGGACAAAAGACAGUGAUUAAUCCAGGUCCGCUAACCCAACAUCCGCACACAAAAAGCUCUGGGCUAUUUGCUUCCCUUUAAGGGGGCUUUGUGUUCCCUAGAAUGGGCACACUGGGGUUUCUCCUCUGGAGAAGAUCCCCGCUGUGGGGAAGGAAACUGAAGUCCGGCACAAGCCGGGACUGCUGGGCGUCCCCUGUGUAGUUAACAACGAGUAUGGACGCACCGAGGAAGUGAGAGCGCCAACACGCGCCAAUGCGGAGAGCGUGUCUAUGGACAGGUGUUAGGAGCGAUCUGGCUCUACCCAAAGUAGUUGUUAAAAAUAGUGAAACAGACACCCAACUGUGGGUGUGGGUAGGAAGCAUAGCCCCAGGUGUAUUUAAGAAAAGAAAAGUAAAAGGAGUUCCCUGGCGGCUCAGGGGGUGAAGGAUCUGGUGUCGUCAUUGAUGUGGCUCAGGUCACUGCUGUGGUAUGGGUUCAAGGCCUGGCCCUGGAAUUUACAUAUAUACAUGUCAUGGGAAUGGCCAACAAAAAACCAAAAAAGCCCAGAUGUGUGGAACAGUCAUUGGUCCUGGGCUGAAUGGUGCCUUCGUGUGUAUCUGCCUAUGGUCGGAAAUGAAUUAGACGCGUAAAUAAAAUACAGGACGAAAUCAGAGCAGACCAAGUGGGAACCAUCCAAGAUAAGGUUUUACGAAUUACAGAGUAAGAUGAACACGCUUAUGUAGAAUCGUGGACUGUUUAGAGCAACAAAACCAAAGUUCUCACCUCUGGGAAUAAGAAGCAUCGUUUUAUUGUGUGUUGGAGCUGAGUUCAUGUGUGUUCCCUGUAUUUAAAAAAAAAAAAGUAAAAACGAGAAAAGGGACAAGUAGGAAACAAAGAGGAGAUUACAUCUGGAAUCAAAGCUAAUUAUGGCUUCAGUUCUGAGCCCAUUAGGAAAAAGAUCUGGGCUGGUCCUUCUGUGAGGAGAGCAGCAGAGAGACAGAUGCUUGUCAUGGUCAUUAGUCUUGUUUCUGAUUAGGGUGGUGAAUUCAUGCAUGUUGAUUGUAAUAAAUAACAUGAUUAAACGAAAAAAUAUGCCCAGUGAGCGCUGUGCCUGGGCCGGCAGUGAGUCUGUGUCUUGAAGCAAAGGUUGUGAUUUAUCCUGGGUUGCGCAGCCGUUGGCUGUUAGCAAACAUCUAGGUUGAUUCAUCCUUUUUAACAUCUGCCUUGUGUCCCACAGAACGGAGGCCCCAGAGUGGGUCCCCUGACAUGCCGCUGGUGAAGACCGUGGCCGUGACCUCUGUGGGAAACGAGCCAUGGACCAACCAACGUUAUUACAGAAUAUUGAGUCGAUCUCCUUGUGCUAUACAGAAAGAUUCAAAAAGGACCAAGAAUGGCGAUGGGGAGUGUGGAGUUGCAUGAAGACUAUUGGCUGAUCCUUGUGCCACCAGCGAGGUCCCCUGUAGAAAGAUUCUAUUAGGUCUGAGAGAAAUGAACAAAAAUCACAGAUUCAACAUACCCAAUCUGAUUGAUUCAGUGAUGAAGCUGUCAGCUGUCAGUAUCCGUGGAUACACAGCCAAGGGACUCACGUAAGGAACAGAUUUUGUGUUCUUGGUUUGGAGGUAGGUGAUUCAUGUGGUCCCUGGGAUUGUUUCAAAGGAACGAGUGGCUACUGCAACCGUAAAGUCAGAGGAGGCCUCCUGUGGAUCAUUAAUGAAAAUGUGAAAUGAACCACCGGUUGGGAUUAAUCCCUUUCAGUGCAACCGAGAUCCAUUCAAACCCCAUCGGAGGGUUUUACAUUCAUUUUCACAGUUGCUUAAUAUUCUGUUGCAUUUUUGCACCGCAUUUUAAGAGUAUUUCUCUAUUGAUAACAAUAACUCAUUGAGGAAGGAGCACCCGGGAAGAGAGACAGUGCUUUAGUGUUCUAGUUAUGGGGGUAAAUGGUAGGUUCGUUAUACUAUUUUUAAAAUACAAAGAAAUUCAAUGAAAGAUGAGCAAGCAGACAGUCGUAAAAUACAUGGCCCAUGUACGAAGCAAGGUUAUUGAUUAAUCUAUAUGUGAAACACUGAGAUCCAAUUAAACAGAGAUCUCAUUUGCUAGCUCUAUGGGAAAUAAAUGGUUGUCACCUGCUCUCUGCAAUAUUCAAAGAUCUUGCUCUUGGGUUUUUGUGAUUCAUGGAAAUUAAAUUUUUUUUAACAUCAGUGAAGCCAUGAAUGAAAGAAUCAAUAAAUAAUGUACAAACAAUCCCUAAACAAUGUAUAAAUAAGUACACGGAGAAAGAAUGUGGAGCUUGGAUCAAUGAUGAGAGUUCUGGGGUAUAUGAAUCAAGAACUUUGAUUAAACCCUAACUCUGAGAUCCAAUAGAAGGAGACUUUGUUCUUCCCUCUAAGGGAACAGAGUUCAGAGGAGAAGUUCAAGCCAGUUGGGGAGCUGUUGUUGGGUCUCUGUGGGUCCUGAGUAUGGAGUGUGUUGAUGCACGUGAAUGAACAUGUGUGUAAGUGAGUGAAGACAGCAAGGGUCGCACAUGAGUGAUUUAGGCGAGUGUCGUGAAACAAGUAUUCUUAGUCACAUGUUUACUUAGCACAGAGUUCCCGUGUGAUCGUGGGUCAAAGCUGUUACCCCCUUUGAAACACAGUAGCAACUCCAGAUACACAGGAGCGCACAGGCAGGUGCGACUUAGUGUCCAGGUUGGCAUGCUGGGCCGGUGGGAGCGUAUGUUGAUUCUCAGGUAAUUAUUUAUUGUUAUAAGGUAUAGGAUGAAGAUGAUUUUUAUCUCAAAUGAUUCUGAAAAAGAGGGCAGACGCUGAAGAGUAUGGCGCCUAUGAGGUGGAGGAAGAUUAAUGACUGAUCCUGUUCCACCCUCCUGAGGGCCAUAUAACAAGAUGGGACCUAGUUUCUCCCUGCUUCGAUUAAGUACAUGGAGAUAUGCCAGAAUGACCCCAGGACAGCACAUUUACUCAUUUUCUAAGGAACAAAAUCUUAGCAGUUAGCUCUGUGGCUUAAGAACAGAGAGAAAUUUAAUGCAAACACAGCAAGCUGAUCUGAUCCUUCUCUGACUGGGAAGACCCUGACUAUUCUGGGACUUAGGAGAUUAAAGGCCAAGGUGAGGAAGCAUCAGUGUUGGUGUUAUUACACCUGCUUUACCAUAAGGACAAAUCAGGCAAAAGGCAGAAGAGCAGGUGGACGCUAAUGAGUGAACAGAGAAUGGCUGAUUUAAUCAUUUAAUAAAGAAUUGCUAUCAUGAGCGAGCAGCAUAAAGUCUAAUAUAAAGUGAAGACACUGUCGCAUUUGGUCGUUAGCCUGUGAUGGAGACCUUGACCUUUGCCUCUCCGGAUAAAGAGAGAAGCGCUCGCGUAAGUACUCAUGAAAGUCCAGGUUCUCACCUGGGGGGUUGGUCAUGGGAAUUCGCUGGGAUGGUUCAAGGAAUAAAUGGCUGCGUAGGCAAAUAACUCCAAGGUGGCCAUGCCUUGACCGAUGCUUAAAAUGUGUUAGGAGUUCAGAAUUGUGAUUAAUCCAUUUCAGCACAUGCCUACGUUUGUUAGAAUGAGCAGAUGAAGGGCAUGUCCGUCCUUCUCAGAAAACGUUAAUAUUCCUUUUAAUUUCUUUUAGCGCAGUAGAUUUAAGCACGUCGCCCUCGAUGUUGUUAGAGGCGAUGAAGCCCUUGAGGAGGAGAACAUAGGAAAAUAGACAGCUUCGCCUUUUUCUUAGUUGAGGUAUAAAACGGAAGUUCAUUAUACUGUUUUAAAAAUAGGGACCUUCCCAUCGUGGCUCAGCGAUAGCGAACCUGUCUAGUGUCCAUGAGGAUGUGGGUUCGACCCUGGCCUCGCUCGGUGGGUUAAGGCUCUGGCAUUGCCGUGAGCUGUGGUGCAGGUCACAGACACAGCAUGGAUCCCACAUUCUCGUGGCUGGGGCGUAGGCAGGCAGCUGCAGCUCCAAUUCGACCCCUACCGAGUCUGUGAACUUCCAUAUGCCACGGGUGCUGCCCUAAAAAGCAAAAAAAAAAAAAAGAAUAUUAAAUGAAAGAGGCCAGAGUAUUCAUGGAUGAAUGACUAGUAUGGAACUGAUAUGAUGCAAAGAAAUGGAUUAAUUCAUAUUCGCAGUGCUGGGGUGCAUUGUCCAAAGAGAGCUACUUCUCUAGCUCUGUAAGGAGUGAACUUUCCCCGACAUGUCCGUAAUCUUCAAGGAUCCUUGGCUUUAUUUUCCUAAUUCGUGGUCGUGGAUUGUGUUAUUAGUAAUGCCUCAAGGAUAAGUCAAGAACCACAUAUCAAACAAAGGCACAGAGUACCAAGUCUGGAUCGAUGAUGAGUAUGCGUGGGGCAUCUGAAUAAUAUUUUGAUUAAACCCCGUCUGUAACUCUGAGGUCCUUUGCAUCUUUGGGAAAUGUGCUUACAGAGGAAGUCAGAAAUAUUCAAGGACUGUGUUCUUGACCUUUCGUUGCUCAUGAAUAUGGAUUGUGUUAUUAUAAGUAAAUCAAUGCAUGAAUAAAUCACGGAUAAAGAGGAGGGCUACACCUCACCCAAUUAUGAAAGGAGCUAAUGAGCCAAGAAUUACUGUUAAUAUAUUUCUGAAAAUUGGAGUUCAAUAAAAGAGACUGAGGCUGCUCCUCCUUUGGGAGCGUCUGGAUAUGCACGUGUGAACCUCAGUGCGGUUCUCAGUGGGUGGUGAGUUUCUGGUUGUGUGUCUCGUUUCAAAAAUAUUUAUAUAAUUGCAUAGUAAUAACACUUAAUAUAAUAAAUGUAUCCAAUAAUAAUGUAACACAUCAUGAGAAACACAUGCGUGUAAGACAUUUUAAGAAAUAGUAAUUUAAUGUAGUCAAUAAUGGACAAUAAAAUAAUUAGACGAUUUGAUGUUGAACCAUGGAAAAGGUCUAAGCAAGAGAUUGGUGAAUAUAAUAAUUAUGAAUUCUCUUGUAUUCAUCGAUGUUAUUUUUAAAAAAGCAAAUGCGUUUCUUUGAUGAUUUUUGUGAGUAGUAAGCAAAUGAAUAGAGGGAGGGCCUCAGCAUUUUCAUCAAGUGUCCUUAGGUUUCACCAAUAUUAGUGCUAUUAUUUUAACUGAGUACAAGAAUAAUUUCAUAUCUCAAUCUGUUAUUUAAUAAAUCGUGGGCCACUGAGGAGCAUACCUAACAUGUGAAAGGGUAGGAUUAAUCCUGUUUUGAGGUCCACUAAAUAAAGAUCCAGGCCCCUCCUUCCUUAGGGAGGGAUUAUAUAGAGCCCUCUCACUAAACACAUCUUGCUGUUAACAUUUAACGUCUAAUGGUCCAAAAUAAAAAUUUAAUUCCUCAGUAGCACUAGCCACAUUUUGAGCCCGUGGCUAAUAGAGGAUAUUUCCAUCACUGCAGCAAAUCCCAUCCGCGAGGGAAGUUGCACAUGAUCAUAGUUAGAUUUGAGUAGCAGGUGGCUCCACGAGUUUGUGUUUUCUUUAGAGAGUAGAUAACUAUAAUGUAUAAUGGAAUAAUACCAAAUCAGUGAAUAAAUAAACAAAUCAAUAUAUGCAUAUUUCAAGUAUACGGCAUCAACCAUGGGUCAGAUUGUUUUGUGAAACAGGCAUUUAGAUUCAUAAAGUUCCUUUGUGGCUCCCCCACCCCACCCCCCGCAAAAAAGAAAAGAAUUUAAAUUCAUCAUAUUUUGCAAAAGUUUUCUCCAUUAAAAACUGGCCUUUUUGCUUUUUUGUAGGAAUAUAUAGACAAAUGAAAACAAUAGGUCUAGUUCUUCUCAUAUUGGGUGACGGAUUAAGUGGUCUUCAUUAAAAACAUUUAAAAAACCUUCAUUAUUUUAUUUCACACUAAAAAUUAAGUCAGUAGUGGAAAAAGAUACCACUGUUGGACUGAUGCUGAAAAUGUGACACUAACCAAUGUUUAUGAUGAACUUAGUAGUGCAGAACUAAGUUCUAUUAAAAAAAAUCUAAAUUCACACUUUUCAUUUUUGUAAAAACACCCGCGUUUUCCUGCCGAAUGAACACCCCACGCUGGAUUCCGUCCGUGUCCAGUGGUGACGAUGGUGGCCAUGGCUUCCGUGGGUAAAUCGAGGAACAAAAAGGAUGCUGUUCUUGGGUCAGUGAUGACAGUGAGACUUGACUCGACUUCAUGAUUAACCUAGCACCUCCAACUGAUGUCCUUUAAGUCAGUCUGGACCCUUUGUCCUUCUGAACGUUGCUCCACAGAAUGAAGGUCACGGCUGAUUGCAUCCGUCUGUUCUGAGGAAGAUCUUGGCUGUUACCUUUCUGGGUAAGAAACCCAACAACUAAAGUAAAAUAAUAGUAGUCAAAAGAUCUUGUCACGAGAUCUUGGGGUGGGUUUUUCGCUAGCGUCCUUUGAAUUAUUUCGACUACGCCAUCCAUAGGCCCAUGAUGUGAGUGUGUUGUGAAACAAAGCUUAUAGUUUAAUCCAGUGGGGUGCGAUUCUGGUUAAAAAUAGGAUGGAAUACAUCUUAUUCAUUUUCAAAGCGGAUUAAUAAUCCAUCUUAUUUUUGUGCUGCAUUUGAUUUAAACUCUCAUCUGGUAACAAAACCUAGGGCCACACUGUCCACUGUGGUUGGUUGUCUCUAGUAGCCACCUGUGGCUGUUUAAAUUCAGCUCCUCAGUUGCACUCUCCACAUUUCAGGUUCUUCGGAGCUGUGUGUGGCAAUGUGAUUGCACUGGGGGGGCAUGGUCCUAGCACAUUCAUGUCGUCAUGCCCUGUCCUAUGGGACAGCUCCUUGUCCUGUGGGAAGAUGGAAGAGAGUUGGAGGAGGAUGCGUGAAGCAAGGAUGCUCGUUGAUCCAUAGACACCUCAGUGAGGGCCACUACAAAAAGGGACCGUAUCUAUUGAGAAAAGAUCUAGUUUAUGGGAAGAGAGCCUAUACAGGUCUUGGUUACAUCCAAGGGUCUUGUUCUUGGCUCUUCAAAAAUUCCUGGGUGUUGAUGUAACCAUCCGUCAUGGAUCAACGAAUGGGUCAAUAAACAAAGGUAUAAAUGAAGGAAAAGAUUGCUUAGCCCGGAUCGAUGAUGAGUACCCUGGGGUGUCUGAAGUCGAGGACUUUGAUUAAACCCUAUAACUCUGAGGUCCGUUACAGAAGAUUCAUCCUUCUUUGCUAUUCCUAUGGUAAUAAGCUUUUUGUAAGAGUUAAAAAUUUUCAAGUUUGCUCUUGUGCUUGGGUUUCUGAAUAUCGUAUUUUCAAUGCACAAAUAAAUCAAGGAAGUAUAAAUGAAUAAGGACAAAAUGGUUUAUUCCUGGUCCAAAUAUGGGAGAAUGUAAUGUAAUAUACAUAAUAUAAAAAUCAUUAUUAAUAUAUUUCUGAAGCACUGGGUUCCAGUAAAAUAAAUUUAUUAAAGCCGACCAUUUUGGGUAAAGAGCAUUUAGAUAAAUGGAUGUGAGAGCACCUGUUGUUUUUCUGGGUUAGGUUCUUGGAUUUUUGUUUUAUUAAGAGUAGGGUAAAACGUUUACUUAAAUUAACUAUUGAUUAAAUAACUACGUAAUUGAGAGAGGACUUAUGCAGAGAUAUGUGUUAAGGAUCUGUCGCAUGGUCGGUUAUGAUUAACCCAAUGGAUUUUCACUAUUUUUAAUGAAAAAAACAACCAAGAAAAAAAUGUGAUCUUUUUUCUGUGCUUGAUGGGCCACAUGGACAGGGAUUAAUAUUGUCCUGUUUCUGUGGAGUCACAGAUAUUAAUGAUAUGGAUAUACAUAUGUAUACAAGAAUAAGUUAAUAGUUUAAUCAGUUACUUGAAAGAAGGCAAUGUAUGGACCAAUGAGGACCAUGUGUUCUGGAACAAGGAGAGUGAUGAAUCCACAUCUAUGUACUUGUUCUCCAGAUAAAGAGACGAGAUCGAGGCUCUUAAUUUUUGAAAUGGUCAAUAUAUUUAGGUAGGAUUUCUCUUCCUGGCUUGUUGGUCCAAUUGCUGUAAAAAAUGGAAGAUAAAGUGACUCCGUGUGUAACGAUAUCCCUGCCUACAUGCUUACAUGUAUAAAGAUGGGACAAGCAUGGACAAUGGCUGAUGGAGAUAUACUCGAAUCCAAGAUUCAGAUGAACCUGAUUCUUUCCAGGAAAAGAUUCAUCUAGCAAGAAGUUAGAGCUCUCACCUGACCAGAUGGGGAUGUAUAAAUAUGUGUAGUGGCCAUAGUUCUUAUUCUUUUGUUUGGUGUUGGUUUCAAAGUUGUUGAUUAUAUUCAUUAAAUUAAAUUUUUGAUUCAGCGAACAAAUAUGCCAUUCAGAGUUUUAAUAUACAACAAGCACUAAAAUUUAUUCAUAGUCCAUUGUUGACUUAAAACUCCACUAGAAAAAAUCUGAAUCUAGGCUGUCCUAUCUCCCUAUCUAUCUAUCUAUCUAUCUAUCUAUCUAUCUGAGAUAAUCUGUCUCUUUUAAUAUUUGUUUUGUACUCUGCAGAAUGGAUGUGCAAUGAUUCAAUUAAAGACUAUAGAACUUACGUAAGUAAUAGUCAAAGUAAUUGCUUCUGGUUUGGUGGUUUGUCAUGGAUGUUAACUCUGUUAUUGGAAGGGAAUAAAUGGCUACAUGUACAAAUUAAAUAAAUGGAGGUCGUGUGUGGGCCAGCUUAGCACAUCUGUGGUCAAUUGAGGAGAAAAAAGAAAGACUAUUUUAUUCGUUUUCAUGGUUAAUUACUCAAUUAAUGAAUUAAUGUAUAAUGUAUUAUUCAAUUUAAUAUGAGUCACAGUUGAUUUGAACCCUCCUUGUUAAAGACACAAUUUUGUCACCUUCCAACAGUAAAAUGGGCUUAAUAUGAAGUAUUAUAUUAAUUAAUCUAUGUAGGAGACAUUGUGGCCAGUUCAUGAAACACACAUAUUGUCUGUGGAAAGUAAUUCUAUGGAGAAAUGUUAGAGAUAUUCAAAGGUCUUGUUUCAAGAUUUUAUGACCUCUAGGUCUUCAUUUUAUCUUUGUUAGUGAAGUAAUGAUUUAGUAAAGACACAGCCAUGAUUGGAGAUGAUGAAGGCCAGCCCUGGACCAAUGAUGAUGACUGGUGGAGUAUGAGUCAUGAACGAUGAAUACUUGUCUGGAACUCUGAGGUCCAGCCCGAUAAGCCACCUGGUCUGCAACAUCUCUGAGAAGUUAUUCUACGGGUAGAUGUCAGGGAUCUCGAGGAUCCUCUUUUCAGUUUUUGUGUUUAUGGAAUUUGAGUGCAUUGUUAGAAGUGCAUCAGUGAAAGCACCAAGCAAUAAACACAGUUGACCCUUGCACCAUUUUGUUGGGUAACCUCAGGGGUUCAAAAAUCCUUUCAUGGCUGUCUCUGCUUCAGAAGCCAAGAAACUGACAAACGACGCACCCAAGGUCAGGACUCUGAACCAGUUUGGUUAGAAUCAGGAUUGAAACCCUGUUUCUUUUGAUCCACAUAUUAUGAACUCUUAAUCAAACACAAACUUUUCUCCACAGUUAGCUAAUUUUUACAAACAAUUUAUUGGAGCAUAGUAGACUUACAAAGUUGUGUUAGUUUCUGGUGUACAGCAACGUAAAUCAGCUAUAUGUGUGUAUAUAUAUAUCCAUUCCUUUUCAGAUUUUCAUUUUCCCAUAUAGGUUAUUACACAGUAUUCAGUGAUUUCCCUGUGCUAUACAGUGGGUCCUUGUUAACCUAUCUAUUAUAUGUAGUCACAUUUAUUAAUUUAAAGAUCUCGAAAAUGAAAAUACAGGUACUAUAUUUACUGUAUAAAUGGACCCAUAAAGUUCAAACCUGUGUUGUUCAAGGGUCAACUGUAUACAAAUAAAGAGGGCGAAGCAUUGUCUAAUUAUGAAAAUAUGUUAAUGGAAAUACUAUUAAUAUAUAUUAAAGACACUGAAGGCCAUUAAGAGAGAAAUGUUAUAAAGGUAUUACCUCUUUGGCUGAGGAUGAUAUUUACAAUGUGAAUAACAGUCCCUGUUUUUGUUUGGUCAAGGUCUUGUUCAUUGUUGUUUGUUUUCUCAAGAAAGAAAAAUACCACCAUUUAAUACAUGCUUAGAUGACUAACAAAAUGCAAAGUGGAAUGCAAGGAUAAAUGGAAGGAAUAUUUCAAUCUUCUUCUCAUUUGUUCUGCUUUGUGCUCCUAGAGUGGGUGCUCCAGGUCAAUGUAAGCAUCUUCAAGAGUCCUGCUCUCUCUGGCCGCCUCAACGUGUCCGGAACAUGGAGACUGAUAAUGGAUAUACUGGCACCUGUCUGAGCUUUUGGUUGUGGUCAGACGCUCCCUGGAUGACUUCCUGUGUAAGAGCAUGGAGAGCAGUUUAGCAGAUGUGGAGGAGAAUGAAGAAGAAGAGUCUGGAGCUCGGACCAAUGAUGACGACUGAUGGCGCAUGAGUCGUAUAUACGAUGAAUACUAUGUGUCUGAAACUCUGAGGUCCAGCAGAGAGAAUGUGCGAGAAAGACUGUGUAUGUGGAUGCCUGGGUCACUUUGUUGUUCAGCAGAAACUGCACAACAUGAAUCAACGCCUCAGCUGAUUUCAGCUUCUGCCACGAUCAAGACUGUCCUGUUGCCUCCGUUUUGUAAAAGACCAAGGCAAG